UCUUGAAGUUCUUGGAGAGCUGGAACGGUGGCCUGUUGCCCUGUAUGGGCAGAGCUGGCUUCUGCAGGAGGGCAAUUGACGGAGGGUGCCGGCUCUAAGUGACUGGGGCAGGUGCUCAGUAACCCCCUAGACUGCUGGCUCUGCCCCUUC